CAUGCGUCUAAAAGCACUGGCUGACAGCAGAGAGAGAAAACAAGAUUGUGUGUGUGAAUGCCACAUCUUCUAUAAAAGUUGAUCCCUCAAGUAAAAACAUUACUUUCACUGUCCGGGAAAUUCUCCAAGAGAAAUAAAAAUAACCGCUUCGGCUGACCUGCGCACAUUAAGCAUACUUUUUUUUGCUCUUUCUUUGUUGUUAGAAAUUCCGAGAGCCAAGCCAACGGCACUAUGUCACAACAAGAAGAAAGCACAUAUACACACUGGCCCAGAAAAAAAAGCAGAUCACAUAAAUGUGCAACAAUGUGAACUUGGACACACCACACGGAAGUCAUCCUCAUAUUUAAAUGCACCAUCUCUAUAUCUUGGAUGGCCUGAGGGUGAGUAAAUUUGAGCAGAUUAUCAAUUUUUGGUAAUCUAUUGUAAGUGGAGAAGGUCACAAUGAAACCUAUAUAUGUUUUGAUUAUUAUCUGAAAGGUU
ensembl:lncRNA